CUCAGCAACCCAGUGUACAGGUGAAGGUGUCAGUCUGCCUGCAUACUGCUACAUGGUUCCUGUUUUGAAGUAGCUAGUUCCUUAUGAGAGCACAAAACUGGGAAGGAGUUCCUGGGUCACCAAAUCCUAUUUCUCAAUAUCUUCAAGAGGCACAAAGAAGUUUUGUUUUUGGAAUGCUGCCCAUCUGACUUGUCUACGGAGGAGCUGCAUCACCAAGUGCAUUGUCCAGAUCUCUGACUGCAAAGAGGGGCUGCAGUGGCUGCCUCAGGCACAGAUAAAUCUGCAUUGAGCCACAUGAAUUUUGACACCAUGCAGGACUGGAAGAGUGGGCAGCAGAGUUCUCAUAGGCUGCACAGA